GACGAACGCGGCGGCGUGCUUAACACAUGCAAGUCGAACGAAGAGCGACGGAAGCUUGCUUCUAUCAAUCUUAGUGGCGAACGGGUGAGUAACGCGUAAUCAACCUGCCCUUCAGAGGGGGACAACAGUUGGAAACGACUGCUAAUACCGCAUACGAUCUAAUCUCGGCAUCGAGGAUAGAUGAAAGGUGGCCUCUACAUGUAAGCUAUCACUGAAGGAGGGGAUUGCGUCUGAUUAGCUAGUUGGAGGGGUAACGGCCCACCAAGGCGAUGAUCAGUAGCCGGUCUGAGAGGAUGAACGGCCACAUUGGGACUGAGACACGGCCCAGACUCCUACGGGAGGCAGCAGUGGGGAAUCUUCCGCAAUGGACGAAAGUCUGACGGAGCAACGCCGCGUGAGUGAUGACGGCCUUCGGGUUGUAAAGCUCUGUUAAUCGGGACGAAAGGCCUUCUUGCGAAUAGUGAGAAGGAUUGACGUACUGAAUAGAAAGCCACG
rnacentral:rRNA from 1 species